rnacentral:misc_RNA from 1 species
UGAAAGGCGAAACGUAAUGUGAAUCGCAACUAACAGUGAAUCAUCGAAUCUUUGAACGCAGGCCGCACCUUGUAAUAUCACUCUGUGUUAUUAUAAGGUAUCUACGUAUGAGUGUCAGCCCAAUAUCAUUUUGGUUCAAGAAGAUGAUUAAAUUUUUUUAUUCAAAUUCUUGAAUACAUAUUCAUAAUAUGUAAAUUUACAUAAUAUUUAAAUAUGUCUGGCCUCAUAUGUGGAAGGUUACCCGCUGGAUUUAA